GAUCGUUGAGAUCUGUGUUGUAUUUUUAGCUUUAAAAUAGUUCUACAUGUAAGUUCAAGCGAAGAAUUUUAAUGAUAAAAUUUGAAAAGAAACCCUCAGUAGAAAAUAUUAGAAAUAUAAGAAUUUUUUAUCUAGGUAAUUUUAAAGAAGUGGAAAAUGGCGUGCCAGCAGCCGCGGUUAUACUCCUGCUUCAAGUUAAAAAUUUUGUACAAAACUGUGUUUAUAGAAAUACAAGGGAGUUUUUUAAAAUUAUUAGGUAGAAUUUUUAUUUUAAAAAAUAACAAUUUAUAUAAACAUAAAAAUUAUAGUUGGGACCAGGAUUAGAUACCCUGUUACUUAUAAAUAAGAAGUUUUGGAUUAGUAGUAUUAAUGAAAUUUAACGGAUUUGGCGGCAAGAUAACCAUUUAGAGGAACCUGCCCUAUAAACGAUGAACCACGAAAAUCUUACUUUUUUUAGAAAUCAGUUUGUAUACCGUUGUUGGCAGUUAGUUUCUCUAGAAAACUUUCAUUUAUGAAAUAUUCACUGACUUCAAGUAAAGGUGCAGCUUAUAGAAAAGGUAGAGGUGGGUUACAUUUAAAAGAAUAACACGGAUAAAGUUAUUGAAAUUAGCUUUUGAAGGUGGAUUUAAUUGUAAAGUUUAAUAAAACUUGAUAUGAGCUCUGUCUUGUGUACACACCGCCCGUCGCUCUCUUUUUUAAAUGAGAUAAGUCGUAACAAGGUAAGUGUAAUGGAAAUUGUACUUGA
rnacentral:ncRNA from 1 species